CCUACGGGUGGCAGCAGUGAGGAAUAUUGGUCAAUGGACGAGAGUCUGAACCAGCCAAGUAGCGUGAAUGAUGACUGCCCUAUAGGUUGUAAACUUCUUUUAUAUGGGAAUAAAACGUUCCACGUGUGGGAUUUUGUAUGUACCAUAUGAAUACGGAUCGGCUAACUCAGUGCCAGCAGCCGCGGUAAUACGGAGGAUCCGAGCGUUAUCCGGAUUUAUUGGGUGUAAAGGGAGCGUAGGUGGAUUGUUAAGUCUGUUGUGAAAGUUUGCGGCUCAACCGUGAAAUUGCAGUUGAAACUGGCAGUCUUGAGUACUGUAGAGGUGGGCGGAAUUCGUGGUGUAGCGGUGAAAUGCGUAGAUAUCAUGAAGAACUCCGAUUGCGAAGGCAGCUCACUGGACUGCAACUGACACUGAGGCUCGAAAGUGUGGGUAUCAAACAGGAUUAGAUACCCUGGUAGUC
rnacentral:rRNA from 1 species